AAUACUGAGAGUGGCCACUGAGGGCAGCAGCAGCAUCAAGAGUGUGGUCAGCAGGGCUUGAGCGCCACCAUCUUGCCUACCUCCAGACUGGAAAGAAACAGUUGGACCUGUUUGACAUUGGGCCAGAACUGUUCUCGGCACAUCUGAUACUGAUGGCAACAGAUGUAGGAUUUCUGAAGCUGCAGUAUUAUAGAAGUUUUUGGAUAAGCUUAUGUGAUACCAUCUUUGAUGAAGAAAUCUAUAGACCAGUUCCGUGUCAGAAGACGGCAAACCUUCGCUAUGCCGACGCCAAGCUAAGACGGCAGUAAACAUGAAAUCAACAUCAACUGAAAUGGCAGAGAUUCCUAGAAUGCUUUAAAAUACUUAAAAAC